UCAAAACGUUUGUUUCCCUUAUGUUCCACCACUUUUCAACCCCCUUUCGAUCUCCAGACCAACAUCGAUGUCGAACCUCUGCAUCUCUCGCCUUCCUUCCAACGAAAACGAUAACCCUAAUCGACCCUCCGAUCAGUGGUCGACGAUCUAGAGUGUAAUUUUCAUAUCAGUCUCAAGAAUUGGAGAGCCUAACGAUGAACAAAAAGCAUUUAGAACGUGAUGCGAUCACACCUUAGAAUAAUCCGAUGCAUGUUUGAAGUCAGUUCCCUUCAGCGAUUCUUUUUCAGAAGAAUCCAUGGUGCGGUGUCCUUGAAGUUCUGUAUGGGGUUUGCUGCAGUGAUAAAUCAGAGAAUGUGGUGCAAUUUGGGUACCAUGGAUUUUGUGUUAUUGUUUGCUUCGCCUGCCAAUUACAAAUCCAUAGGAACUCAACCCUUUGCCUAUAUUUAACAGUUCCCUUCUAAUCAAAUUGUCCCUAAAUUAUGGUAAGUUGGAUACAAGUGCUAUUUUGAGGACCAUUUAUGUUGGCUUUAAAGAAACAAGUCAGUCAACAACUUGUCUUAUUGAUGGAUUACUGAAUAAUGGAUUACUUGGUUUGAUUUUUUUAUUUCUCUGAAGUGGAAUCAAAUGCUCUGGUGUUGUUGACACUUGACAGAUCAGCGCCCUGCUAAUGGAGCUCCAUAACCAACCGGCGAUUGAAGGUCCUCGAGGGGUGUCUCCUCAAUCGGCGGCUUGAUGGUGUUCCUUCCCAUGAAGAUAAACUUGGUGCAAAUGAUAAUUUAGCCUUUACACCUAUUGGAGACUAAGAAUCUAUUGUCAAGAUACCUGAACUAUAAAUGGGUUGCAUACGACUAUUGGACGAGGCUCAUAAUAUCAGUGUAUUUGGGAAAACAGGAAGAGGUGUGUGAGCUUUUCCACGUGGAUGCGAUGUGGAUAUCAUGAAGCAUUAAUAACUGGUUGUUAUAUCUACCUCCACAUGAAAACACUAUUGUAAACAAGUAAUGUUUUGUUCACAACAGCAGCCUGAUCCGCCAUUGGAGGACACACAUUAACUGGUAUAGACCGAAGAAAGAGGAAGGUGAGUACAAAACAUGUCAAUUAGGUGAGGAAAUUCAGAGCUUGAUUUUGGUCUUUCCACCGGUGGAGACCGGUAACAUUCACGGCGCAUCUAGACUCGACUGAAUCAGACGGUGUUGCGAAAAGAACGACUUCUCUAUCAUCAUCAUAUCAAUUUUUUCCUACUCCAAAUUGCAUCAUCCUAAGAUCUGCUUCUGUUUUUAUUCGAGCGUGGGUGAUCAAGAAAAUGAAACCAAGGAAUUAAGUUAAACACCCAGGUUAAUGUAAGCGUGGGCGACCCAGAAAAAAAAAAAGAAACAUAAUAAUUACAAGUCCCAGGAUGUUACGGGCAAGGUCUCGAGAAAAAUUCAAAGAUGGAGUUCAUGAAUCGGUUGAUGAACCUUCACGCAAACCAGAUAGUAAAGAAAGUAAGAGAAAAUGAAGAAAAAUAUGAAAAAAUAUAACAAAUAUGAAUUUAAAGGUAAAAACACACUUAAGAUAUUUAUUUGAUAGAAUGAACUAUGAGCAAAAUUUCAUUGAUGCUUAUGUUGGAUAGGGGUGAAGAGGACACAGAAAAUGACAGCGCUUUAUUCUUCAUCUCAAAACAUUUCCUUGUCAUUAUUGUUAAUUUGUUAUCAAGUUUGGAUAUUGCUAUCUUCUUGCUUUGGCUCGUCAACCUAGUGAUUGGAUAUGGAAAACUGGGUGGGAUGACCCAUUUCAGUAACAAGUUCAGCUCAAAAUGAGUACUUCUAGUCAAGGGUGCAUGCCUGUACACGACUAGAUUGAGUAAUUGUGUCAAGAUGUUGGACCUAACCGACUAACCUGUACACGCUAAGCUGGAUAUUGCUACAUUCUUGCUUGUAACGGGAAAAUAGGUUAUGCCAAAAUGAGUGAUUUUGAUUCGAUAAAAGUUAGAUACGCGGGUCAAACUGGUUUGGGUCAAAAUUUAGUGGCAUGUGCAUUUCAAGUAACUUUUGGGUGAAAUAGCUUAGGUUUGCAUUAUUUACUAUAGAAGAUAAAAAUGGUGGAUCAUCCUCGUUUUGGUUACAUGCCAAACGAAGUGGGUCAAAUUGAGUAUUUAAUUUAUAAUUUGUAUUUUGUGUUUU